GAUGAAGAACGUAGCGAAAUGCGAUAAGUAAUGUGAAUUGCAGAAUUCAGUGAAUCAUCGAAUCUUUGAACGCACCUUGCGCUCCUUGGUAUUCUGAGGAGCAUGCCUGUUUGAGUGUCAUUAAUAUAUCAACCUCUUCAGCUUAUGCUUGUUGAGUGUUGGAUGGUGGGGGUUUGCUGGUGUCUUAUGAAGUCAGCUCCUCUGAAAUGCAUUAGCGGAACAAUUUGUUGACCGUUCAUUGGUGUGAUAAAAAUAUCUACGCUAUUGACGUCAGUCAGUUCAGCUUCUAACAGUCCAUUGACUUGGACAAAUUUUUCAUUAAUGUGACCUCAAAUCAGGUAGGACUACCCGCUGAACUUAAGCAUAUCAAUAAGCGGAGGA
rnacentral:misc_RNA from 1 species